rnacentral:rRNA from 1 species
GUUCUUUUACGAGGGAUAAUUAUGAUAGUACUUCGUGAAUAAGUGACAGCAAACUAUGUGCCAGCAGCUGCGGUAAUACAUAGGUCGCAAGCAUUAUUCGGAUUUAUUGGGCGUAAAGCAAGCGCAGGCGGAUGUGUAAGUUCUGUGUUAAAUGCAGCUACUCAAUAGUUGUAUGCACCGAAUACUACAUGUCUAGAUUGUGGUAGGGAGUUUCGGAAUUAAGCAUGGAGCGGUGGAAUGUGUAGAUAUGCUUAAGAACACCAGAGGCGAAGGCGGAAACUUAGGCCAUAAAUGACGCUUAGGCU